CCAGGGGUAUACUUAGUACGGCGAGUGAGCGGUAAAAGCUCAAAUUUGAAAUCUGGUACUUUCAGUGCCCGAGUUGUAAUUUGUAGAAUUUGUCUUUGAUUAGGUCCUUGUCUAUGUUCCUUGGAACAGGACGUCAUAGAGGGUGAGAAUCCCGUUUGGCGAGGAUACCUUUUCUCUGUAAGACUUUUUCGAAGAGUCGAGUUGUUUGGGAAUGCAGCUCAAAGUGGGUGGUAAAUUCCAUCUAAAGCUAAAUAUUGGCGAGAGACCGAUAGCGAACAAGUACAGUGAUGGAAAGAUGAAAAGAACUUUGAAAAGAGAGUGAAAAAGUACGUGAAAUUGUUGAAAGGGAAGGGCAUUUGAUCAGACAUGGUGUUUUUUGCAUGCACUCGCCUCUCGUGGGCUUGGGCCUCUCAAAAAUUUCACUGGGCCAACAUCAAUUCUGGCAGCAGGAUAAAUCAUUAAGAAUGUAGCUACUUCGGUAGUGUUAUAGCUUUUUGGAAUACUGUUAGCCGGGAUUGAGGACUGCGCUUCGGCAAGGAUGUUGGCAUAAUGGUUAAAUGCCGCCCGUCUUGACCCCCCGGACCA
rnacentral:rRNA from 1 species